rnacentral:rRNA from 1 species
AUUGAACGCUGGCGGCAUGCUUUACACAUGCAAGUCGAACGGUAACAGGUUAAGCUGACGAGUGGCGAACGGGUGAGUAAUGCAUCGGAACGUGCCCGAUCGUGGGGAUAACGCAGCGAAAGCUGCGCUAAUACCGCAUACGAUCUGAGGAUGAAAGCGGGGGACCGUAAGGCCUCGCGCGAUCGGAGCGGCCGAUGUCAGAUUAGGUAGUUGGUGGGGUAAAGGCUCACCAAGCCGACGAUCUGUAGCUGGUCUGAGAGGACGACCAGCCACACUGGGACUGAGACACGGCCCAGACUCCUACGGGAGGCAGCAGUGGGGAAUUUUGGACAAUGGGCGCAAGCCUGAUCCAGCAAUGCCGCGUGCAGGAAGAAGGCCUUCGGGUUGUAAACUGCUUUUGUACGGAACGAAAAGGUUUGGCCUAAUAAGCUGAGCUCAUGACGGUACCGUAAGAAUAAGCACCGGCUAACUACGUGCCAGCAGCCGCAGUAA